rnacentral:rRNA from 1 species
CAGCAGCCGCGGUAAUACGAACCGUGCGAACGUUAUUCGGAAUCACUGGGCUUAAAGCGCGUGUAGGCGGGCCGCCGCGUCGACUGCUGAAAUCCCCCGGCUCAACCGGGGAACGGGCAUCGAUACGGGCGGCCUCGAGGGGGGUAGGGGGACCUGGAACUUCCGGUGGAGCGGUGAAAUGCGUUGAGAUCGGAAGGAACGCCCGUGGCGAAAGCGAGGUCCUGGACCCUUUCUGACGCUGAGACGCGAAAGCCAGGGGAGCGAACGGGAUUAGAUACCCCGGUAGUCCCUGUCUCUUAUA